UUAAUUAUAUUUGGGCAGUACAAUCUAUAUAAGAUUUACAUGUUCAUUAUUUGAAGUAUUAGUUUUUGGCCUAAUCAUAAAAUGAUCCAAAUAUUUUUGGCACAAUUGACUAGAUUUUCAAAAUUCAUGAAAAUCUUAUCUGAAUAUUUUAAAAUUGCAAAAGAUUGUUGUAAUUUGAUCCUUUUUUUUUUCAAUCGAUUCUUUCACUUCAUUUUCUGGUUGAUCCAACUUUACUACUACCAUCAAUUAUUUCCAAAUUUCAUUUUGAGGUGCAUCAAAAAUCUUAGCUCUUUGAUCAAAUUGGAUAGUUUUAGUCACGCUCUUUCCCUCGUCACUACUAACAAAUCUCAUCACUAUUUGAUGCCCAAUGUGUAUAAAAAUAAAAUUGUAGACGAGUUGGUGAUUGUGGUAAGGUUGGAUUUUCAAUGGCAGCUAUAGAGAAGUGGCAAAAUGGAGUUUAGGAUUUGGUUGAUGAAAAUUGAUAAAAUUUUAACAACUUUUAGAAAUUUGACUAGUUUUGCAAAGAUCUAAUUGUUUUGAUUAAAUUGUCAAAAUGCAAAAAAUGCUAGGAUUAUUUUUAUAAUUAGGCCUUUUUUUUGGAGAAAUAUUAUUCCUCUUUGCCAAUGAAUGUUAAUUCAUUGCAUUUUAAGAAUUGUAAUCAUGAAAGAGGGCAAAAAUAAGGACAUUUAAAGUAAAUAACCGAAUAUACAAUGGGCUUAAUUGUCACACUAGUGUCAACAAACUUUUUUCUAUUUAAUUAAGGGAUAUAGAAAAUCCAUUGGCAAGGAAAAUAUGAGAAAAUCAAUAAAAUCAUCCACUAUAAAUUUAAUAGCACCCUAUACAAUAUCUAAAGUGAAGGAAUUCUUUGUUGGAGAGAGAGAAAACAAAUAACACACACAUGCAUUUAUAUCAUCAAAUGGAAUUGAAAAAUGGGAAAUCUUUCCUGAUCUCUUGCUUUUGCUACCUAGGACUAAAAAUAAGAAAUUCGGUGCUCAUUAAGAGAGAAUACUUGAUCUUGAGUUCUUAAGGAACUAAUACUUUUGAUUGAAAAUGCAAUUUGUUUUCCCCAUUUACUUCAUGUCUUUAAAUAUCACAACAACAACCUUCAAAAAA
rnacentral:misc_RNA from 1 species